UAUUGGUCAAUGGUCGGGAGACUGAACCAGCCAAGCCGCGUGAGGGAGGAAGGUACAGAGUAUCGUAAACCUCUUUUGUCAGGGAACAAAGGCGGGGACGUGUCCCCGGAUGAGUGUACCUGAAGAAAAAGCAUCGGCUAACUCCGCGCCAGCAGCCGCGGUAAUACGGAGGAUGCGAGCGUUAUCCGGAUUUAUUGGGUUUAAAGGGUGCGUAGGCGGGCUUUUAAGUCAGCGGUAAAAAUUCGGGGCUCAACCCCGUCCGGCCGUUGAAACUAGGGGCCUUGAGUGGGCGAGAAGAAGGCGGAAUGCGUGGUGUAGCGGUGAAAUGCUUAGAUAUCGCGCAGAACCCCGAUUGCGAGGGCAGCGUACCGGCUCCACACUGACGCUGAGGCACGAAAGCGUGGGUAUCG
rnacentral:rRNA from 1 species